AGACAUCACGGGUCUGUGUACAGUGGCGGCCCGGCUGUCCUCAGCUGCAUCGCCCGGCGAGGGUGGCGCGGCGUUCCCCGGUCGCGCGACCGGCGACAAAGACGACCCACAGUGGACGAUCCAGCGGCAGAGUCGCCGCUUCCGCUUCGCUGCUUCUCCGGUCACCGGCGACGCGGGCCCGGGGCUUCCUUUUCAUCGGCCCAGCUUAUUCCGCGGGCCCCGGGGCUGCAGCUACCCAGAAGCGGCGAAGAGGCCCUGGGCUGCGCGCCCGCUGUCCCAUGUGAAGCAGGUUGGGCCUGGUCCCCGGCCCGUGCCCGGUUGUCUGCUGCGGCCCUUCAGGCCUCAGGGACCCCCGCGAGGCGCUGCUCCUGGGGGGCGCGGUGACAGGCCGUGCGGGGGCGGAGGGGCCAGCUCGGUGGCCUCCUCUCGGCCCUCGGCUCCGCGAUCCCCGCCCAGCGGCCGGGCAAUAAAGAAUGUUGAUGGGAGAACCAUUUUCCUAAUUUUCAAAUUAUUGAGCUGGUCGCCAUAAUGGAUGAUCAGCAAGCUUUGAAUUCAAUCAUGCAAGAUUUGGCUGUCCUUCAUAAGGCCAGUCGGCCAGCAUUAUCUUUACAAGAAACCAGGAAAGCAAAACCUUCAUCACCAAAAAAACAGGUAUUUAUUUCAGUAAUGCUUAAAUGAUUCCAUUUUUAUUAUUUUUAAACCAUGUGACUGUUUCUGUGUGAGUCUGUGCAUGAGAUUGUAGGUGCUCAUGGAAAGCUGCAGUACUGGAGCCCACUGGAGCUAGAGUUACAGGUGCUUGUGAGCCACCUGACAUGGGCCUUGGGAACUGAACUUUGGUCCCCUGUAAAAGUGGUGUGUGUUCUUAACCACUGAGCACUCUUUCUAGUCCCAGCAUCAGUAGUAUUUUAAUAAGUGUAUUUUGUUCUAUGAAUUACUUUCAUUUCAUAGACUUCUUUUAUACUUUGAGUCAGAUGUUUUGUUUAUUAGUAUACUAUUCUGAUAGUGCAAUUUAAGUUUUGUAUUUAUAUUUAAUAUGUAAACCAAUAUAAAUGCUAUGUAUAAGUACAGUAUUGAAGAAAUAGUGACAAGAAAAAAAUGAAUAUACAUUUUUAAAAAGCUAUAUGGUAACUGCUUGCUAAAGUUACUAUUUCAUCCAUUCUUUAGCACAGAAGAUAAAGUGUCUUUUGUUUGUUAUCCCUUGAAGUCUCUUCUGGAUACUUUUUUUUUUAAAUAUUUUUUAUUAGGUAUUUUCCUCAUUUACAUUUCCAAUGCUAUCCGAAAAGUCCCCCAUACCCUCCCCCCCACUCCCCUACCCACCCACUCCCACUUUUUGGCCCUGGCGUUCCCCUGUACAGGGGCAUAUAAAGUUUGCAAGUCCAAUGGGCCUCUCUUUCCAGUGAUGGCCGACUAGGCCAUCUUUUGAUACAUAUGCAGCUAGAGACAAGAGCUCCGGGGUACUGGUUAGUUCAUAAUGUUGUUCCACCUAUAGGGUUGCAGUUCCCUUUAGUUCCUUGGGUGCUUUCUCUAGCUCCUCCAUUGGGGGCCCUGUGGUCCAUUCAAUAGCUGACUGUGAGCAUCCAUUUCUGUGUUUGCUAGGCCCUGGCAUAGUCUCACAAGAGACAGCUAUAUCUGGGCUUCUGGAUACUUAUAACUGGAGUAAUUUGAUUCCUAUUAACUAGACUAGCAUGAGCUAGGAAGCAUAGAAUGUCAAAAUACUAGAGUUCCCUCUUCCCAUAGUGUCCAUUGUUCAUGGUCUGUUUAGGUUAGAAAAUAACAUGAAAUGCUGUAGACACAAGCAGCGCUAAGUUUUAAAUUUCAUGCCAUUUGAAGUAGCAUAAUGAAACCUGCCAUUGUUAUGAAUUAUACCUUGUGUUUCAUAUCCAUGCUGUAUACUUAGACACUGUUUAAGUUAUGGGGCUGACUAUUGACUAUGAUAGUAAAGCAAUGACAGUUUGAAUACGCAGAAAAGAAGCUUUAAAGCAUUUCACUUACGAGAAGAGGUGAACGUUUUAAACUUAACAAAGGGAGACAAGCAAACCAACAAGCAUAUUCAGAGGUCUUGAAACUCACAGAAGAGGAAGGACUGUAGGAGAGCAGCAUUCUCCACUUCCUUAGCUCAGGCUAGUCGUGCAUGAGUGGAUAUUGGUGCUCGUCCCUGUUGUCAGAGCUGACGAUGUAAUUCUCAACCCAGACUUUUGGCAGACGUUUGGUGAUUGGAAUUGCACCUUGAAAAUGAAACCCCUUUUCUUUCUUCUGCUCUAUGUUAAAUGAGUAGGCUAAGGAAAAGAUGACUUAGAAAUGUAUCUGGUCUCUGCAUGAUUAUGACUGAUAUCUUUAUUAUAGAAUGAUGUUCGAGUCAAAUUUGAACAUAGAGGAGAAAAAAGGUAAGCAAGGCUAUAUUACACAUCAAUUAAAUCAUGUAAUAAAAUGUGUAUUCCAGUUAAGCUAUUAGGAUUCUUUCAGGUUUGAAAGAAAUUUUGUAGUUUUGAAAUUGAAAAUGAAAUAGUCUUUGGUAAUGGAUAGCAUGCACCUAGACCGGCGAGAAAUAGAAUUAUGUCAAAAUGCAUUCUAGCUGUUGGAAACACUGGAUGUGUUUGCUUUGCAAAAUUGGGAAGUAAGUAAGAUCACUUCAUAAUACACACGUUACAAUUUUACUAUUUACUUUUAAUUUACUGUCCUCAAAAGACUUCAAUGCUGUGGUGUAUAUUUUGUUAACAGUGUUGUAGAAGUAAGUUGGAAUGGUGGCUGCAGGUACUUAUACAGCAGGAAUGUAAGCUUAGCCUUCUGUGCCUGGUGUCCUCUGCUAUGUCUGCCUCAGGGUGGCAGUGCAGCUGGUGAGGGCUGACGAGAAGACCUCAUAGGAGCACAGAAGAUUGUGGUUUUGUUAUUGGUGUUUCAUUGUAUUAAUAAAAGGCCUGUUAAUCUUAAGGAAUUAGAAGUUUCUCACAAGUCCUAUAACUUGAAUAUGUGAACAUAUUUCACUAGGUGC
rnacentral:lncRNA from 1 species